GACGAACGCUGGCGGCGUGCCUAAUACAUGCAAGUCGAACGCAGUGGGGACGGGUGAGUAACACGUGGGUAACCUCCCAUCAGAGGGGAUACCACUUGGAAACAGGUGCUAAACCGAUACUGAUGGCUUGACCCGCGGUGAAUUAGCUAGUUGGUGAGGUAACGGGUAACCAAGGCCACGAUGCAUAGACGAGCUGAGAGGGUGGUCGGCAAGAAGGUGAAUGGGAAACGGCCCAGAUGCGAAGGGGAGGCAGCAGUAGGGAAACUGAGACAAGGAAAGAAAGUAUGACCGAGCAACGCCGCGUUAGUGAAGAAGGUUUGCGGAGGGAAAAACUCUGGUGUUAGAGAAGCGGUAUCUAACCAGAUAGCCACGGCUAAAUACGGGCGAGCGGCGGCGGUAAUAC
rnacentral:rRNA from 1 species